rnacentral:rRNA from 1 species
UACAGAGGGUGCGAGCGUUGUUCGGAAUUACUGGGCGUAAAGAGCGUGUAGGCGGCCAGACAGGUCCGUUGUGAAAACUCGAGGCUCAACCUCGAGAUGUCGAUGGAAACCGUCUGGCUAGAGUCCGGAAGAGGAGUGUGGAAUUCCUGGUGUAGCGGUGAAAUGCGCAGAUAUCAGGAAGAACACCUAUGGCGAAGGCAGCACUCUGGGCCGGGAACUGACGCUGAGGAGCGAAAGCGUGGGGAGCAAACAGG